AUUCUUCAGCCCCACGGGAUUUCUACGGUCUCCGGUCUAGCAAUGGGUAUGUUGACCCAUUCUACAAAAUGUGUCUAGAUGAGAGGUGUGAACAACUUUCCCUCAACACUUCUAAAAGGCAAAAAGAUUGGACUUAUCACAGCAAUUGUAGACAGAGAAGGAGUUUGAACCUCAUAUCCCGUGUAUGUCGCACUUCUAAAGACAUCACAUCACAUGUGCUAAUUUUGAUGGAGAUGCUAAUUCUGUGAGAGAGGUUGAGCGUUUGUUCUCGUAGCAGUUCUUUGUUCACAGAGAGUAGUUCUCUCUAGGUUCAGACAUCUUGUCACCAACCUUACAUUGGCUUUGUCAAGCUAACAUAAUAAUAAGAAGAAGAAGAAGAAGAAGAAGAAGAAGAAGAAGAGGAAGAAGAAGAAGAAGCUUAUAAACAGGAAAGAUAUAAUCGGCCCUGAUCAUCGGAUGUUUUUAAACUACUAUAAACUAAUGGCCGAUAGUGUCACAAUCUCGCCAUCAGCAGAUGGUGCUGCGGCGUCGACAUGCACGGACGGCUGCAGAGUGCACGCAUGCGAGAUCACGGAAUGAGAAAUAUUUGCUAUGGACACGUGCCUUUGUUUUGGUUCUGUUCUCUUCCUGUUGAGGCAUUGGUUGAUGUUUGAGGGUGUGUCAUUAUUAGUCCCAGCUGUCUGUGUUCAAGCAUAAUUAUGUUUGUUAUUUAAAGCCCUCAUGUUGCUGUACACUUUGCGCAGUAUUAACUGAAUAAGUAAAUGUAAAGGUGAAGACGUUUAAGUAUGCUAAGCGGUCGUGGUUUCGUGUCCUGUUUCUGUUCCAUGCCUCACAUCCAGUUUCAUGUUUAAACCUCGAUUAUCUAUUCCAGUCUAGAUCACGCUUCCAGUUUAUUACCUUCAGUUUGCAAAUAAAGACUUUGAUCUUUGGUUGCCUCUGCUUAUAAUCUCAUUCCGUAACAGAUAGCAUGAAAAAUGGCCUUCAUCAACCAAUAAUUAUAUUAUAG
ensembl:lncRNA